ACUGAUAGGAAGGAGUGUGCACUUCCUGUCAGUCCGACCGGUUACAGGAAACAGAAACUCCUGUUCCGCGCGGAAUUUCUGUUUCCUGUAACCGGCCGGACUGACAGGAAGUGCACACUCCUUCCU
rnacentral:miRNA from 1 species